UACUCGUGCUCUUGCCGUUGGCAGAGACCACUCAUUUUCCCCCGUGCCGGCCAUCUUCCCAAGGUGCGGCGAGAGCUCCGGCGUGCCACCUCUUGCCGCAAAACUACCAGUCAACUCCACCCGGCCGCCGGGAGGCCUACAGUAGAACCUCUACACCGCGUCGCCGACGCGCAGGUACAGUACACCGUCGUCGUGCGCUGUCGCCGUCACCACCGAGCCUUCUACACCGCGCCAACGCGCAGGUACAGUACGCAGGGCACAAUGGUUCUGGAAAGCUCACUCGAGAUCUCGUCGAUCGGCCUUGAGGAUUCAGGAUCCAAAGCAGACGAUGAGGUGAGCGUUGGAUAUGAUGGCCACGGCAACGAUGAAUAGCAAGCCAUUGCCGGCGGGGAUGGGAAUGAAGUGAUUUUGUUGUUUGUUCCUCCUGAGGUUGCUCCGGGCUUUGUGAUCGAGGAGGAGUAUGUGGCGGAGAGCAUGGGCGCCGGUGGCGUCGGCCUUGCAGUCGGGCUGGUUCAGCUCGAGGACAGCGACUCUUCUUCAGAUGCAGGGUACCAAGACGUCGACGAGGGCGACGACGAGGUGCUAAGCCACCGGCGUCGUUUUGGCGACGACGGCGUCCGCAACCUCAUGCAGGGACGGGGCUGCGCUCGUCUAGUUUGACUCAGCUUCGGCCGUCCCGGAAGCCGGGACAAACUAUUGUCAGUUAGUAGUUAGUUGUCAGUUAGCAUUUCAAGGUCAGAUUAACAAAUGCAGACGAUGUUUUUUUAGUUCUGUUGUUCCUCUAGAUUCAGUAACUGGCUUGGACAGCAGUUUAGAGUUCAGUUGUUUGUUUUGGGAUCCAUUUAGUUCGAUGAAAACUACCAACCAAUGAUUCUUGUACUCCCUUCCUGUGUCAUGUAAGCUGUUCCAAUGUCAUGUGAAUGAGUUUUAUCAAUGAAAAUGGUGUGUGUUGGGCA